rnacentral:lncRNA from 1 species
GCUCACGCUGUGUGCUGUGUGUGCCCAAGUAGCAGGUCCUGUCUCUGACCCAGGAGUGCCAUGUCUUCCGCCGGCAUCCAGGGAUCGGUGAUGAGUUAAAUUACCGGCUCCUGAGUUAGAAAGAGACUUAGAGUCAUCAGGGUGUGCGUGCCGGGUGAAGCCACAGGUAUAGAUAGCAUUGCCUAGGACGAGGUCGGGGGCUGCCCAGGGCAGCAGCAACAGGGGGUCAGAAAGGGAGCUUCCAGAGGACCUCAAGAAAGAAGCCUGGAGGAGAGCAGCUCCCUGAAGGCCAAGGGAGUGGAGUUUCCAUCCAAAGAGAGAAGGCGGCACGAUCCGAAGCUGCUUAAGCAAGAUGAAGACUGAACGUGGCCACUGAAUUUAGCAACUAGGUCACUGGCAAGAGACGUUUCAAUGAAGCCAAGCUGGAGUGGGUGAGGAAUGAAUGGACUCAAAUACAAGGUGUUUCCAAAGAACUUGGCUGAAAAGGAAAGAGAGAUGGAGGAAAGAGUUUUCUUUCUAAAUAGAUGGAGCUCUCCGCAGAGUAUAUCCUGAGGAGAACGAGCCAGAAAAUCAGAGAAAUUGCGGGGAGAAAUUUAAGAGCAAGGAGAAGGAUGGAAGCAGGUCCUGAGGAAGAGGAGAGGAAUGGUUCUCAGACCCCAUGAGGGAUGGCCUGGGCCCUCCUCCACCCACCGAGCCUUUCACCAGCCACACCUCCUCCAGCCGGCCAACCUGCCAGCCUGGGCUGCAGUCUGUCUGGAGCCUCCUGUCCCGAGGGAAGGGCCUGGUCGCAGGUUCUCCAGUGGCCGCCUUGCCUGGUGGUCCUGCAGGUUAGAGGUGGGAGGCACAGGAGUGUUUCCCAGCCUGCAGUCUCUGGAGAUGCCAACAGGACCCUUCUCCGGAAGUGUGAGCAAGAACAAAAGAAGACAUCUGGAUGUUUCAGAUCCUUUGAGACUAACGUGUAAGCAAAGACUCUCCCUAAGGACAUGCACACAGCACCCACCACAACCCUGCACCUGGUUUCCGGUUCAUGCACCACCGCCGACCCCCACUGGCCGAGUCUCAAAGGAGCGUCCAUCAAAAUCAGACGAGGAGCUGGCUAACAAUGCAGAUGGCCAGGCCCCACCGCAGAUUCUCAUUCAGCGGGUCUGGGGCAAGGCCCAGGAGUUUGCGUUCUCAUAAGCCCCACAGACGCCCCGGGCGCGGGUGCUCAGCGGCACCCACUGUGAGAAAACCCACUAUGGGGCUGAGACUCCACCCUCAUCCCC